rnacentral:rRNA from 1 species
UAGAGUUUGAUCCUGGCUCAGGACGAACGCUGGCGGCGUGCCUAACACAUGCAAGUCGAACGGAGUAAGGUUCUUCGGAAUUUUGCUUAGUGGCGAACGGGUGAGUAACGCGUGAGCAACCUGCCUCUUUGAGGGGGAUAACAACCGGAAACGGUUGCUAAUACCGCAUAAGACCACACUGUCGCAUGGCAGAGAGGUCAAAGGAGCAAUCCGCAGAGAGAGGGGCUCGCGUCCCAUUAGGUAGACGGCGGGGUAACGGCCCACCGUGCCGACGAUGGGUAGCCGAGCUGAGAGGCUGAUCGGCCACACUGGAACUGAGACACGGUCCAGACUCCUACGGGAGGCAGCAGUGGGGAAUAUUGGGCAAUGGGCGCAAGCCUGACCCAGCAACGCCGCGUGAGGGAAGAAGUCUUCGGAUUGUAACCUCUGUCCUUGGUGACGAAGAAGUGACGGUAGCCAAGAGGAGCCCGGCUACUACGUGCAGCAGCCGCGGUAUACGUAGGGGCGAGCGUUGUCCGGAUUACUGGGCGUAAGGGUGCGUAGGCGGUACUUUAGUUGGAUGUGAAUACCCGGCUAACUUGGGGGUGCAUCCAUACUGAGACUAGAGUGC